CAUAGCGACUAUCGUGGCAUAUCAAUAAGCGGAGGAAAAGAAACUAACAAGGAUUCCCUUAGUAACGGCGAGUGAAGCGGGAAGAGCUCAAAUUUGAAAUCUUCAAGGUUUUACCUUGACGAAUUGUAGUUUAAAGAAGUGUUUUCUGUUGGAGUUUUGGUAAAAGUUCUUUGGAAUAGGACAUCAUAGAGGGUGAGAAUCCCGCAUUUGACCAUUAUUUCCAGCUGUGUGAUACACUUUCAAAGAGUCGGAUUGUUUGGGAAUGCAGUCCAAAAUGGGUGGUAAAUUUCAUCUAAAGCUAAAUACUGGCGAGAGACCGAUAGCGAACAAGUACCGUGAGGGAAAGAUGAAAAGAACUUUGAAAAGAGAGUUAAACAGUACGUGAAAUUGUCAAAAGGGAAGCGUUUGACACCAGUGUUGUUUUCUCGAAAAUCAAUUACGAAUGUUUUAGUUUUUGAGGAGUUAUGACUUCAUCGGCUUGCUUCUCUCUUUAUGAAACUUUCUUAAUGCACUUUUCGGUUAACAAGUCAACAUCAAUUUCUUUGUUGUAAAAGGGUAUGAGGAAGGUGGCUUUCUUUUCGGAGAAAGUGUUUAUAGCCUUGUAGCCUCUGCAAUCGGAGAGAUUGAGGUCUGCAGCGUAGAUCCUUCGGGGUUAGAUACAUUUGUGCUAAGUUAUAGCUUUUCAUAGACAACUUGUUGACUAUGUUAGUCUUGUAGCUUACUCGCUUAUGCUAUUUUACCUACGCUUAGGAUGUUGAUAUGCAUGACUGAUAU
rnacentral:rRNA from 1 species